UAGCGGAGGGGGCGAGCGUUAUUCGGAAUUAUUGGGCGUAAAGGGCGCGUAGGCGGCUGAACAAGUCAAAGGUAAAUCCCUCGGCUCAACUGAGGAACUGCCUUUGAAACUGUUCGGCUUGAGGCCGGGAGGGGUAGCGGAAUUCCCAGUGUAGCGGUGAAAUGCGUAGAUAUUGGGAGGAACACCAGUGGCGAAGGCGGCUACCUGGACCGGUUCUGACGCUGAGGCGCGAAAGCGUGGGUAGCAAACAGG
rnacentral:rRNA from 1 species